rnacentral:rRNA from 1 species
GAUGAACGCUGGCGGCGUGCUUAACACAUGCAAGUCGAACGGAAAGGCCCAAGCUUGCUUGGGUACUCGAGUGGCGAACGGGUGGGUAACACGUGGGUGAUCUGCCCUGCACUUCGGGAUAAGCCUGGGAAACUGGGUCUAAUACCGGAUAGGACGAUGGUUUGGAUGCCAUUGUGGAAAGUUUUUUCGGUGUGGGAUGAGCUCGCGGCCUAUCAGCUUGUUGGUGGGGUAAUGGCCUACCAAGGCGUCGACGGGUAGCCGGCCUGAGAGGGUGUACGGCCACAUUGGGACUGAGAUACGGCCCAGACUCCUACGGGAGGCGGCAGUGGGGAAUAUUGCACAAUGGGCGCAAGCCUGAUGCAGCGACGCCGCGUGGGGGAUGACGGCCUUCGGGUUGUAAACUCCUUUCGCUAGGGACGAAGCGUUUUUGUGACGGUACCUGGAGAAGAAGCACCGGCUAACUACGUG